rnacentral:rRNA from 1 species
UACAGAGGUCUCGAGCGUUAGGCGGAAUCACUGGGCUUAAAGCGUGUGUAGGCGGAUCGUUAAGUACCUUGUGAAAUCCCACGGCUUAACCGUGGAACUGCUUGGUAUACUGGCGGUCUUGAGCCAGCUAGGGGCUACCGGAACAAAUGGUGUAGCGGUGAAAUGCGUAGAUAUCAUUUGGAACGCCAAUGGUGAAAACAGGUAGCUGGGGCUGUGCUGACGCUGAGACACGAAAGCCAGGGGAGCAAACGGG